GCCGGGGUGGCCGAGCGGCCCAAGGCGCGGGACUUGAGAUCCCGUCCCCGUCAAGGGGGCGUGGGUUCAAAUCCCACCCCCGGCGCCA
rnacentral:tRNA from 1 species